rnacentral:rRNA from 1 species
GGGUGAGUAACGCGUAAACAACCUGCCCCGCAGAUGGGGACAACAGCUGGAAACGGCUGCUAAUACCGAAUACGCUCCUCUUAGCGCAUGGUAAGAGGAAGAAAGGGUGGCCUCUGGAACAAGCUACCGCUGUGGGAGGGGUUUGCGUCUGAUUAGCUGGUUGGAGGGGUAACGGCCCACCAAGGCGACGAUCAGUAGCCGGUCUGAGAGGAUGAACGGCCACAUUGGAACUGAGACACGGUCCAGACUCC